UUGGGGGGCCUAUCCGUUUUAUCCCUGUCCCUCCUGCUUCCCAUUGUCCGGCCAACAAAAGCGGGAAUGAUCGAGGGCAGCGUAAAAAAUAAAGGCGGCAGAGAAGGUCGUUGGGCAACCCCGAGAGGUGGCUAGUUUGAUCCCAGGCACCGCAGACCCAAGUGUCCAGGCGUCCCUGGACAUGGCACCUAACCCCGACUGCUCCCGACGAGAUGGCUGCUGCUGGUGACAAGGUGUGUGAUUGUGAGGAGCAAAUUGUGUGGCCUCAGUUCAGAGAAGUUUAAAUGCAGUCUAUACUCAUUUCUUCCCUGUAUCUUUGCUUGAAAGAUGCACAUCGGUUCUGGCAAUACCUGACUGCACCGUGGUCAACCCAGAGGGUAGUUAGGGUAGGCAUUCCCUCCGUCCAUCAAACAAUUCAGCCCACACCCCUAUACGGAGCCGUCCUGUCUUGUACUGACCCCGUUAAUAAUAAUAAUGAUACAUUUUAUUUGUAGGGCACUUUACAUUUGAAAAUCUCAAAGUGCUAGAGUUUAAGAGAGAGAAAAGGGUUGUUAAAACAUAUACGUAUACAGUAAAAGAGAAAUUAGCAAAAGGCUUUUUAAAAAAAAAAAAAAAGUCUUGAUGUUCUAUUCUGUGGGGCCUUCAGUACAGUACAGUACUUCAGUACAGGUUGUCAGGGAGGGCGUUCCAUAGUCUGACCAGAGCGUUCUGGUCUGGUAGAAGGAACUGAUUUGGUUCCAUUGGUGGCUUCAGAAGAUGUCAUCUAGCUACCCCUCCGCCACAGGGCUUUGUAUGAAUACAACAGGUUUUACAUCUUUCCACUAAAACUGAUAAAUAGGGGAGCACUUUCAACUAUAGGUGGAUGGAAAAGGGGCCUGUGGACUUGUACGUCAAUGACCUAGAGCGGCAGUCUGCUCAAAUACUGGAUCCACUUUUUUAUUUUGCCCGUAAUAGAAACCGGCCAUUGCAUUUGCUUUGUCGUUACUAAUUGCUUAUGUUGUUGAAAGGCGUGGCAAUGAUUAGGAAUGCUUUUAGCUGCUUUGUGUUUAACAAUGGAUGAAUCCGAUGAUUACAUUGGUGAAUCUAAAUGUACAGAGCUGGGGAAAUUGAAACAAUUAAAACAGACAAAAUAUCAAAUGAGUUAGAAUACAGUUUGAAUUAAAAAUCGAAUGGGACAGUAUGAUUCUACUACGUUUCGUUACAUUAAAACAAAAGCGUCCAUUUAGGAUGCAGUGCCUUACAUUAUGUUCAUUCAACCAAGUAAUUCAAGUGCAAACAACUUCAAAACAUAAGCAAAGCAACUGCUUUUAAGUGCUACGAUAUAAAGAGAUCGAAGAAGAAAAUUAGAAAGCAAAUCAUUUGAUUAAAUUACAUACUAUAAGGCAGUACUUUUGGAAUCAUUUCGCCACAAUUCAUGUAUGCAUUAAUUUUACACUAUUUAAUGCAUUCUUUAGAUCCUUAUAUUGUUUCCUCAUCAGUUGCAACCCACACACACACACAUACACACACACACACACACACACACACACACACACACACACACACACACACACACACACACACACACACACACACACAACCUCUUGCGGGCAGACUCAGAAUCUUGAGCCCAUUUAUUAGGGAACAGGUGUUAUCGGGAUUCCAUCACUGCAUUCCCAGAAUCCUGCAUUGUGAAAGUCUUCCCUUUUUUUUUUAAAUGUACAAUGGCAUUU